UGUUAAAAUUUCAUUCAUUUGUACUGUUAAAAAUUGACAUGACUGAUAGAAUAACCAAACAAUGACACAUAGUAUGUCAAGUAUAUCUCAUGUUGAUGUACAAAGACCAGGUUUUAAUAGUAGAAAUAGAUGAAAUUUUUAACA
rfam:Gossypium raimondii Chr06_contig_1309, whole genome shotgun sequence.